rnacentral:rRNA from 1 species
AAACUUUCAACAAUGGAUCUCUUGGUUCCGGCAUCGAUGAAGAACGCAGCGAAAUGCGAUAACUAAUGUGAAUUGCAGAAUUCAGUGAAUCAUCGAGUCUUUGAACGCACAUUGCGCCCCCUGGUAUUCCGGGGGGCAUGCCUGUCCGAGCGUCAUUACUG